GACGAACGCUGGCGGCGUGCUUAACACAUGCAAGUCGAACGGAAAGGCCCUGCUUUUGUGGGGUGCUCGAGUGGCGAAAGGGUGAGUAACACGUGAGUAACCUGCCCUUGACUUUGGGAUAACUUCAGGAAACUGGGGCUAAUACCGGAUAUGAGCUCCUGCUGCAUGGUGGGGGUUGGAGAGUUUCGUCGUUUGGUGAUGGACUCGCGGUGUAGCAGCGUGUUGGUGGGGUAGUGGCUUACCAAGGCUUUGACGGGUAGCCGGCCUGAGAGGGUGACCGGCCACAUUGGGACUGAGAUACCGGCCAGACUCCUACGGGAGGAAGGAGUGGGGAAUAUUGCACACUGGGCGGAAUCAGGAUGCAGCAACGCCGCGUGCGGGAUGACGGCCGUCGGGUUGUAAACCGCGUUCGCCUGUGACGAAGAGUGAGUGACGGUAAUGGGUAAAGAAGCACCGGCUAACUACGUG
rnacentral:rRNA from 1 species